rnacentral:rRNA from 1 species
CCUACGGGAGGCAGCAGUGAGGAAUAUUGGUCAAUGGACGGAAGUCUGAACCAGCCAUGCCGCGUGCAGGAAGACGGCUCUAUGAGUUGUAAACUGCUUUUGUACAAGGGUAAACCUGAAUACGUGUAUUCAGCUGAAAGUACUGUACGAAUAAGGAUCGGCUAACUCCGUGCCAGCAGCCGCGGUAAUACGGAGGAUCCAAGCGUUAUCCGGAUUUAUUGGGUUUAAAGGGUGCGUAGGCGGUCCGUUAAGUCAGCGGUAAAAUUGCGGGGCUCAACCCCGUCGAGCCGUUGAGACUGGCAGAC